AUGGGGGCCGCCAUGUUGAUGCUCUGGGACCCGCCUCCUCCACCACAGCUGAUUGGGGGAGAACCAGGUCACCUGACUCAAGCUAAGCCAAUCAGAUUCCUAACCCCCCCCCCACAAAGAAGCCACUCUUGCAUCCUUGACAUGGAAGGUAGCCGGGCUGGGAUUAAGGCGCUCGUUUCUCAACAGUGUGACCUCAGGCAACUUGGACCUCUCUGUGGUUUGGUUUCCUUCUCUGGAAGUCGGAAGGAUGAAAGCAGCGCCUUCCUCCAUGGCCUCUGCGGGAUUAUGCGAAAUCCUGGUGGCGACGCUUUUUGCCCAAGAGCUGACACGCAGAAAAUGGCUGGGCAAACAGCAGCCGGCUUUGCUGGUGGUACGGACGGAGCGAUGGGACUUGUGGCCGUGCAGGGGCCACCUCCUGCCUUCUAUGUCCUGGAUCCUUCCCCAGAGGAUGCUGAGGGGUUGGUCUUGAGUGGUUUUGCCUUCCAGCAGACUCAGGAGCCCAGCCGUCAGUGGGCAUGGGAGAGAAGAGUCGGGGGUAAGCCUCUGAGAGGACAGAGCGGCCAAUCCAGUGGUGUAAUCAGGCCAAGUUACGAAGUGAGACCCCCCCCCCCCGGCCUGGACACACCAGAGUGGGGGUGGCGUCUCCCAAGGUAUUUCAUUUUAAAAAUACACUUAUGUGGACGUUCCCACUGUGGUGCAGCAGGACUGGUGGUGUCCCCGCAGAGCCAAGAUGCAGGUUCGAUCCCUGGCCUGGCACAGUGGGGUAAAGGAUCUGGUGUUGCCGCCGGCAGCUGUGGUGUAGAUUGCAUCUGUGGCUCGGAUCUGAUUCCUGGUCCAGGAACUCCAUAUGCUGCAGAGUGA
rnacentral:lncRNA from 1 species